ensembl:lincRNA Gm26559 predicted gene, 26559
GAAGAGGAGGAGGAAAGGACCACCCGGCACGUCCUCGUGGUGGUUGCCUCCACUCCUCCAGCCCUUAGCCCAGGGCUGAUGUCAUCUGCAGCAAAUCAUUUCGCCGGCGGCCCGGAAGCUGGAAGGACGAGAUUGUUGGAUGAAAGAUGCAAGAAGUCAAUGAGAUGACUCAGGAGGAAAAAGAACUUGCUGCCACGCCUGGGGACCUACUAAGUUCCAUCCCAGGAUCCACACAAUGAGAGGAGAGAGCAGACUACCAUAAAUCGUCCUGUGACCUCCAUGCACAUUAGUUAAUUAAUUUUAAUAAGUGCAAUAGAAGAAAGAGCUUCUUCACGGUGGCCCUCUGUCUAAGAAAGCCAUGACCAGGAUCCACCCCAUUCUUUGCCCACCCUUUGCAAUCCAGGGAUAUUAUGGCAGAACACAGACUAGCAAUGGCUACUUUACACGCAGUCAGCUAAUGUCCAGUCCUUUUGUUGCAGAAAUGGAAAGAACUGGAUCUUUGUGACUAUGUGAGGGAAGAGUAAAGGGAAGAGACUUCAGAAGCACGUAACCCAGGCUAGGGAUCAGCCUAAGCAUCAAGACAUGAGUGAUUAGAUGAUACCCCACCCCCAUUUUCUUAGACAACGGAGUAACGGUAGCCUUACAAAAUAUGUACAGGUGACCCCUCUACCAACACCUCUGGGAGAAAAAAUAAAAGAAAACCCAACAUGGUCAGCCACUCUUCUAAGUUAGAAAAGUCCCCACUCCCAAGACAAAGGAGACAAUUGUAAAGAGAAGGAAAAUGCACCCACAAGGAAGCCUGCCUCUAUCACCAGCUUUGAGUGACUACACUUGAGUGUCCCAAAGGCUCUGCAAACUCGAUCGGCUCCAGGCCGGAAUCAUCUUCAUCCUCUAGCGCUGAUCUCGCGCAUCUGUUCCAUUGAACGGUAACACAUCUAUCCCACACCGCAAGGUAGAAACCAUGCCGACAUCUGGGACCCUUCCCUGGCUUCAAGUGCAGUCAGCGCUACAAGGAGCCUGGCGAGUUUCACUUUCGCCUUCUAGAUGUCUCCUCAACCAUCCACUUCUCUCCAUUAUCAUGGUCCCAGUCCUCGCCAUUAUGAGAGGUACGAUAGAUAGAUAGAUAGAUAGAUAGAUAGAUAGAUAGAUAGAUAGAUAGAUAGAUAGAUAGAUAGAUUAAAAAAAUAGUUCUAGAGUAAAUGUCUCCCUCAUCCAGACAUGUUGGCAAUGAACUGGGGGCCUUUAGUCCCAACACUCAGAAGGUAGAGGCAGGCAGAUUUCUGUGAAUUCAAGGCCAGCCUGGUCUACAGAGUGAGUUCCAGAACAGCCAGGGCUACACAGAGAAACCCUGUCUCAGAAAACAAAACAAAACAAAACAAAACAGGAAUAUGAAAAUUCUAAUAUUAUAAUAUUUUAUUAUUUAUUUGACAGCAAGAAGACAUUAGGAGAAUCCUUACCUUGCCAGUUGGUUAGCCUAAGAUAUAGUUUAUGUAGGAAAGAAGGACAAAGGACAAACACAUGGCUCUUUAUAUACUAAUUGUCAACAUUGUUCAUUCUAUACCAUUCUUCCAAAGCAACCGCUAUUUUUCUUCAUUAAUAUCUACCUUAGAAGCCUGGGGAGGCUGCUUCCUGGGGCCAGGCAGGAACCCCAGGGGAGCAAUAGGGACACCAAUCCACCCACAAAACUUUUGACCCAAAACUUAUCCUUGUUUACAAGAAAUGCAAGAAUUGGAGAUGGAGCAAGGAAUGUCCAACCAAUUACCUGCCCGACUUGAGACUCAUCUCAUGGGCAAGCACCAAAUCUCUUAACACUAUUAAUGAUACUGUUAUGCUUGCAGUUAGGAGUCUAGCAUGGCUGUUCUCUGAGAGGCCCCACCCACUAACUGACUCAGACAGAGGCAGACCCCACAGCCAAACAGAGGGUGGAGCUUGAGGACUCUUAUGAAAGAACAGAAGAAAGGAUUGCAGCCACAAAGGGGAUAGGAAACUCCACAGGAAGACCAACAGAGUCAACUAACCUGGACCCUCAGGGCUUUCAAGGAUUGAACCACCAACCAAAGACCAUACACAGGCUGGACCUAGCCCUCCGUUUAGAUAGAGCAGAUGGAGAGCUUGGUCUUCAUGUGGGUUCUGAACAACUAGAACAGGGCUAUCCCAAAAGCUGUGAACAUAUCCCUGUCCGUGGGAUAUGUUCUUCUAGCUGGGCUGCCUUCUCUGGUCUCAGUGGGAGUGGAAGUGCCUAAUCUCUCAGAGACUUGAAGUGCCAGGGUUGGGAGGAUUCCCAGGGUGGGGCCCCAUUAGCUCAGAGGAGAAGAUGGGGGAGAGGGGAAGGAGGAAGAAUUAUGAGAGGGAGUGACUAGGAGGGAGGGGGUAGUGAGCAGAAUGU